GGCAAGACAAGGAGGAGACCCGGAACCCUGGGAGAGGAAAAGGGUCAGAAAAAGUAUAGAAAAUGUCCAAGACGACAUCGUCGUCGGUGGUGGUGCGGCCCGAAGAUUAUGCCCACAGUCCGGUCCACUACGCCGUGGCGGUUGGCGAUCACAGCACCCUUAAUAAACUGCUUUCCUCUUUGCCCCGACUCGUUGAUCCGAACCGAAUACGGACAGAGUCUGACUCCCAAGCCCAAGAAUGUCUCGCCGAAAAAAUAUCCGCCGUCGUCGACCGCCGCGACAACAGUCUAAGGGAAACUCCAAUCCAUCUCGCUGUUCGUCUUAAUGACGCCACCGCCGCUCGCUGGCUUGCUGCUGCGGGGGCCGAUGUCUCCCUUCAGAACGCCGCAGGAUGGAACCCCCUUCAGGAAGCUCUACUUCGCCGCUGCCCGGAGAUUGUAUCUACCCUCGUUCAGCAUCAUCACCUUUCCUCCUGGUCCAAGUGGCGCCGCCGCCUUCCUCGUUUAGUUGCUGCCCUCCGCCGCAUGCGCGACUUCUACAUGGAGAUCUCCUUCCAUUUUGAGAGUUCCAUCGUGCCAUUCGUCGGAAAAAUAGCCCCCUCCGACACUUACAAAAUCUGGAAACACGAUGGCAACCUCCGAGCGGACACAUCUCUCGCCGGUUACGACGGUCUCAAAAUCCAACGUGCCAAUCAAAGUUUCCUCUUCCUCAACGACAUUGAUAGCACUCUCGAAAUCCCCGCUGGAUCCCUUCUCGUCCUUAAUCACGACGACAAAAAAAUCUUCGACGCAUUUGAAAAUGGGGGAAGCCCAUUAUCUGAUUCCGACAUUUCAAGCUUCUGUAAUCAGACCAGCGUUUACAGGCCUGGAAUGGAUGUCACGAAAGCAGAGUUAGUGGGCCGUACUAAUUGGAGACGACAGGAAAAAACAGAAAGUGUAGGGCAGUGGAAAGCGAAGGUUUACGAAAUGCACAAUAUUAUCUUUACUUUCCGGUCACGUAAAAUUAAUGCCGGAGAUAAUAGAGAAGAUCCAUUUGGGACCAACUACGUCUUGCCGUUAGAAAUUGACGAAGAGUCCGAUGAAGGGUUUAUAGUCGCUGAGAAUCCAAGAUUUAGCGUGUCUAAUGACAGGCAACGGAGGCACAGCAAUUUUGUGAGGGAGGAUAGGGAACGGAGGCACAGCAGUUUUGUGAGGGAGGAUAGGGAGUUCGUGACGGUGUCUAGGAAGAGUGUGGAUAUAAUUCCGGUGGAUGGGAGGAGAAGGGCACCGGAGAGACUAGUUGCGCCGCCGCUGACGAAAGAGAAGGAAUACGUGAAGAGCCUGCGACCAAUGGUUUGGUUAACGGAACACUUUCCAUUGAAAACGGAAGAGUUGCUGCCGUUACUUGAUAUCUUGGCAAAUAAAGUAAAGGCCGUUAGACGCAUGAGGGAGCUGUUAACGACGACGUUUCCUCUCGGGACAUUUCCGGUAAAGGUAAAGGACGAAUUUGUCAUAGACCAACUGUUUCUGAUUCAGUGAAAGCUUUACUUUGAAUUGAUUUGCUUUGCUUCAAUUUAAUUCCUUCUUUUGAUGCAUAACCAAUGUCUCUCUCUUUUAGCAACCAAGACCGUAUGAUUUGACGUGGAAGUAUCCUAUUGGUCUUUUUGUGGGCCCUUAAAAUACAAGCUUUAGGUAUAAAAAU
rnacentral:lncRNA from 1 species